rnacentral:lncRNA from 1 species
GUGUGUUCCUGUUUAGAGGGUUUGCAUCUGACCCUGGUAGAAAGAAGUCAAAGCAGCAAACGGGCUGCGUUUCCAGGACCAUGUGAAUAUACAGAUGGAGGGAUUUCUAAAGGCUGUUACUCUCCGCCGAGUCGUCCAGCUGAACACACUCCGGCUUUGUGUCUCUUCUGUUGUUUUGUAGGUACAUACCGUAGUCUCCUCCUGAGGCGGCUGAAACGCAACCUACAGAUGAGUUUCAAGUGCUCAUUCUCUCGGUCUGAAUCUGGCAAAUGCAAACAGUUUCUUCUUCAGAUUUGGUAUCUGCCGUGUUACGGUCCCCUCAGCUGCGAAAAAGCGGCGUUCCUAUUCGUACCUGCAGUUCUGCAUCGUUGUGUGCUGCUCUCUACGGUUCGUUUUCACAGUCUACGGGACGCAAUCAGGUUCUUUUAGAUUUCAUAUCUGCCAUAGUGGGCUUCAAUAAGCUAAGAAGGAAGGGAGCUUUGAUCCUGCCUUUCUGCGCCGCUGUGUAUACCACCCUUAAGCUAGGAGUGGUUUCACUCGUAUUUCCCCCGCGCAACAGGUGGCUUUCUCCGUGGGCAAUCCCCAUCCUCUCGGAGGCCCGUGAUGGUUGCGCAACUGCGAUUUUACGAAAUCUAAGUCUAGUUCUCCCAUUCCGCCUACUUUAAAGAAAGGGCUGGAAACACAUAUUGAGAAAGAUAUAAAUCUAAAAUGGGAAGACGGUCACAAAUCCUGCAAGUUACCCCAAGGGGCGACGGAGGGGGGAACUCUUUCGCGAGAGUCGAUUUCCCGCCGCCGUGUUCAGUCAGCCAGCAGCACAGCGGGUGAAACAGUGUGGAACGAGGUGAGACAAGCGCCUCGUCAGUUUGCCUAGGUCCAAAGGCCUCCGCACCCAGGACCUACGUGGAAAAAGAAGCAAAGAUCGACUCUACGCUUUGGGAAAUUGGGAUAAGAACAGCGGAGACGAAAAUGCAGCAGACUCGUUCCCGUAUAGAGUCGCCGCGUUGAAGAGACGCAGGAGUGACCGGCGGUUUUCUUCCCAUGACACUAUACCUGCAGACAGUCGAGAUUUCUUUCGGCGCGGCGAGAGAGGUCGUUAGGAAAAACACGUGUAUACCUGAGAAGCACCAAGAAAAAGCCAUACACACACCUGAG